rnacentral:tRNA from 1 species
AAGGGAGACCUACCCAUCUAAUACUUGAGCGUGAAAGCGCUUCGGGGUUAGAUAGGUCAACCCAAGGUCGUUCGAGAUUUAAGUGUUGGCUUCCAGACUAUUGACUUGGUUGGGUAAAUGGGCUAUUAGCUCAGGUGGUUAGAGCGCACCCCUGAUAAGGGUGAGGUCCCUGGUUCGAGUCCAGGAUGGCCCACCAUUCUUAUUUAAGGGGGUUUAGCUCAGUUGGUAGAGCGCCUGCUUUGCAAGCAGGAUGUCAGCGGUUCGAGUCCGCUAACCUCCAUGGGAGAGUUCAGCAACUUGUUUAGAGGGAUUGGUUCUUCUAGAAAGCCUGCUGGGUUUUAUCCAGCCAGAACCUUGAAAACUGCAUAGAAACUUGUCAGGUAGAAAGUAGCUGACGAUGAGUUGUGAACUCUUUAGAUAAAGCUAAAGGGCGAUUGACGAGUUGUCAGAAACAGAUAUCACAGACACC